rnacentral:rRNA from 1 species
AUUGAACGCUGGCGGAAUGCUUUACACAUGCAAGUCGAACGGCAGCACGGGGCAACCUGGUGGCGAGUGGCGAACGGGUGAGUAAUACAUCGGAACGUGCCCAAUCGUGGGGGAUAACGUAGCGAAAGUUACGCUAAUACCGCAUACGAUCUACGGAUGAAAGCGGGGGAUCGCAAGACCUCGCGCGAAUGGAGCGGCCGAUGUCAGAUUAGGUAGUUGGUGGGGGUAAAGGCUCACCAAGCCGACGAUCUGUAGCUGGUCUGAGAGGACGACCAGCCACACUGGGACUGAGACAGGCCCAGACUCCUACGGGAGGCAGCAGUGGGGGAAUUUUGGGACAAUGGGCGCAAGCCUGAUCCAGCCAUUCCGCGUGCAGGAUGAAGGCCUUCGGGUUGGUAACUA